rnacentral:rRNA from 1 species
AGUGGAUGGGGAGCAACCUAGUUGUGCGUGUGUAAAGGUAGUGCCAAGAAAAGCGGUGAUCAUGAUGAAAAUCAAUUCCCGGUACCCGAAACCGACACAGGUGGGCAAGUAGAGAAUACUAAGGGGCGCGAGGUAACUCUCUCCAAGGAACUCGGCAAAAUGCCCCCGUAACUUAGGGAGAAGGGGUGCCACCGAGAGGUGGUCGCAGUGAAGAUGCCCAGGCGACUGUUUAGCAAAAACAUAGGUCUCUGCAAACUCGAAAGAGGAGGUAUAGGGGCUGACGCCUGCCCAGUGCCGGAAGGUUAAAGAAGUUGGUCAGUCUUAGGAUAAAGCUAGCGACUGAAGCCCCGGUGAACGGCGGCCGUAACUAUAACGGUCCUAAGGUAGCGAAAUUCCUUGUCGGGUAAGUUCCGACCCGCACGAAAGGCGUAACGAUCUGGGCGCUGUCUCGGAGAGAGGCUCGGCGAAAUAGGAUUGUCUGUGAAGAUACGGACUACCUGCAUUUGGACAGAAAGACCCUAUGAAGCUUUACUAUAGCUUGGUAUUGUGUUCGGGCUUCCCGUGCGCAGGAUAGGUGGGAGGCGAAGAAGGUAUUCUUGUGGGGAUACUGGAGCCAACGGUGAGAUACCACUCUCAGGAGGCUAGAAUUCUAACUUAAUUAAGGACAGUUUCAGGUGGGUAGUUUGACUGGGGCGGUCGCCUCCAAAAAAGGUAACGGAGGCGUACAAAGGUUCCCUCAGACUGGUUGGAAAUCAGUCGCAGAGUGCAAAGGCAGAAGGGAGCUUGACUGCGAGAAGUACAGUUCGAGCAGGGUGGAAACACGGUCUUAGUGAUCCGACGGUGCUGUGUGGAAGGGCCGUCGCUCAACGGAUAAAAGUUACUCUAGGAUAACAGGCUGAUCUCCCCCAAGAGUUCACAUCGACGGGGAGGUUUGGCACCUCGAUGUCGGCUCAUCGCAACCUGGGGCGGAAGUACGUCCCAAGGGUUGGGCUGUUCGCCCAUUAAAGCGGUACGUGAGCUGGGUUCAGAACGUCGUGAGACAGUUCGGUCCAUAUCCGAUGUAGGCGUGAGAAUAUUGAGAGGAGCCUUCCUUAGUACGAGAGGACCGGGAAGGACGCACCGCUGGUGUACCUGUUAUGAUGCCAAUUGUAAACGCAGGGUAGCCAAGUGCGGAGAGGAUAACCGCUGAAAGCAUCUAAGUGGGAAGCCCACCUCAAGAUGAGUAUUCUGGUGUAAGGUCACGGGAAGACGACCCGUAAAUAGGCACGAGGUGGAAGUGCAGAGAUGUAUGAAGCCGAAGUGUACUAAUAGACCGUCGGCUUGACC